CUUACCAUGCAAGUCGAACGAUGAAGCCCAGCUUGCUGGGCGGAUUAGUGGCGAACGGGUGAGUAACACGUGAGUAACCUGCCCUUGACUCUGGGAUAAGCCCGGGAAACUGGGUCUAAUACCGGAUAGGAGCGCCUGUCGCAUGACGGGUGCUGGAAAGAUCUUUCGGUCAUGGAUGGACUCGCGGCCUAUCAGCUUGUUGGUGAGGUAACGGCUCACCAAGGCGACGACGGGUAGCCGGCCUGAGAGGGUGACCGGCCACACUGGGACUGAGACACGGCCCAGACUCCUACGGGAGGCAGCAGUGGGGAAUAUUGCACAAUGGGCGAAAGCCUGAUGCAGCGACGCCGCGUGAGGGAUGACGGCCUUCGGGUUGUAAACCUCUUUCAGCAGGGAAGAAGCGAAAGUGACGGUACCUGCAGAAGAAGCACCGGCUAACUACGUGCCAGCAGCCGCGGUAAUACGUAGGGUGCGAGCGUUAUCCGGAAUUAUUGGGCGUAAAGAGCUCGUAGGCGGUUUGUCACGUCUGUCGUGAAAGUCCGGGGCUUAACCCCGGAUCUGCGGUGGGUACGGGCAGACUAGAGUGCAGUAGGGGAGACUGGAAUUCCUGGUGUAGCGGUGGAAUGCGCAGAUAUCAGGAGGAACACCGAUGGCGAAGGCAGGUCUCUGGGCUGUAACUGACGCUGAGGAGCGAAAGCAUGGGGAGCGAACAGGAUUAGAUACCCUGGUAGUCCAUGCCGUAAACGUUGGGCACUAGGUGUGGGGACCAUUCCACGGUUUCCGCGCCGCAGCUAACGCAUUAAGUGCCCCGCCUGGGGAGUACGGCCGCAAGGCUAAAACUCAAAGGAAUUGACGGGGGCCCGCACAAGCGGCGGAGCAUGCGGAUUAAUUCGAUGCAACGCGAAGAACCUUACCAAGGCUUGACAUGUUUUCGACCGCCGUGGAGACACGGGUUUCCCCUUUGGGGCGGAUUCACAGGUGGUGCAUGGUUGUCGUCAGCUCGUGUCGUGAGAUGUUGGGUUAAGUCCCGCAACGAGCGCAACCCUCGUUCCAUGUUGCCAGCACGUAGUGGUGGGGACUCAUGGGAGACUGCCGGGGUCAACUCGGAGGAAGGUGAGGACGACGUCAAAUCAUCAUGCCCCUUAUGUCUUGGGCUUCACGCAUGCUACAAUGGCCGGUACAAUGGGUUGCGAUACUGUGAGGUGGAGCUAAUCCCAAAAAGCCGGUCUCAGUUCGGAUUGGGGUCUGCAACUCGACCCCAUGAAGUCGGAGUCGCUAGUAAUCGCAGAUCAGCAACGCUGCGGUGAAUACGUUCCCGGGCCUUGUACACACCGCCCGUCAAGUCACGAAAGUCGGUAACACCCGAAGCCGGUGGCCUAACCCUUGUGGGGGAGCCGU
rnacentral:rRNA from 1 species